UAGGGAAUCUUGGACAAUGGGCGAAAGCCUGAUCCAGCCAUGCCGCGUGAGUGAUGAAGGCCUUAGGGUUGUAAAGCUCCUUCGCCAGGGAAGAUAAUGACGGUACCUGGAUAAGAAGCCCCGGCUAACUUCGUGCCAGCAGCCGCGGUAAUACGAAGGGGGCUAGCGUUGUUCGGAAUUACUGGGCGUAAAGCGCACGUAGGCGGCUUUCCAAGUUGGAGGUGAAAUCCCCGGGCUUAACCCGGGAACUGCCUCCAAAACUGAAAGGCUAGGGUCCGAGAGAGGUGAGUGGAAUUUCCAGUGUCGAGGUAAAAUUCGUAGAUAUUGGAAAGAACACCAGUGGCGAAGGCGGCUCACUGGCUCGGUACUGACGCUGAGGUGCGACAGCGUGGGGAGCAAACA
rnacentral:rRNA from 1 species